rnacentral:rRNA from 1 species
UGAGGAAUAUUGGUCAAUGGAGGAAACUCUGAACCAGCCAAGUCGCGUGAAGGAAGACGGUCCUAUGGAUUGUAAACUUCUUUAGUAGGUGAAUAGAGAUAUGUACGUGUACAUAUAGGCAUGUAACCUAAGAAUAAGUAUCGGCUAACUCCGUGCCAGCAGCCGCGGUAAUACGGAGGAUACGAGCGUUAUCCGGAUUUAUUGGGUUUAAAGGGUGCGUAGGUUGCUGUUUAAGUCAGUGGUGAAAAGCUGUGGCUCAACCAUAGUCUUGCCAUUGAAACUGGAUAGCUAGAGUACAGAUGAUGUAGGCGGAAUGCGUAGUGUAGCGGUGAAAUGCAUAGAUAUUACGCGGAACUCCAAUUGCGAAGGCAGCUUACAAAAGUGUAACUGACACUGAUGCACGAAAGCGUGGGGAGCAAACA